rnacentral:rRNA from 1 species
CUACGACCUCAGAUCAGAUGUGGGGAAUCUGCUAAAUUUAAGCAUAUUACUAAGUGGAUGAAAAGAAACUAACCAGGAUUCCCUCAGUAACGGCGAGUGAAGAGGGAAGAGCCCAGUGCUGAAACCCCAUCCGGCGGUGGGUUCAGGAAAUGCGGCGUACAGAAGACUGACUCCCUGGCAUUGCUCAGGGGGCCCAAGUCCUUCUGAUCGAGGCUCACCCUGUGGACGGUGUUAGGCUGGUAGCGGCCCGCAGCACACCGGGAUUGGCUAUUCUCCGAGUCGGGUUGCUUUGUAAUGCAGCCCAAAGCGGGUGGUAAGCUCUAUCUAAGGCUAAAUACGGGCACAAGACCGAUAGCCAAGAAGUACCGUAAAAUGCACCCGGCCCCUGCAGGGUGCAUUUCCUCCAUGGAGGUGCACCGCAACCCACUCUAGGUCAGCUGGGAAGGCCCCGAGGGGCAGGUGACUCCGGCAGAGAGUGUUACAGCCCCCUGGCAGUAGUUUUGCCGUGUCUGCGGGGCUGAGGGAGAUUGAUCGCCACCGUGCCCUUCUCCCGGUGCAACUGUCGACUGGGGUGGGCUGUUCUCAGGGUGCCCCGAUAGCGUUGUGUCGCGGGGCGGGGCACCAGGGGUCUGCAGUGAUGUCAGUUACCCACCCGACCCAUCUUGAAACAUGGACCAUGGAGUCUAACACGUGCACAAGUCGGAGGGCCGAACAAAACCCUGUGGCGCAAUGAAGGUGAGGGCCGGCUGACGUGGGAUGCCGUUGCGGCAUCGCGGAAGGCACACCACCGGCCUGACUCGCCCGCUCUGUUGGAGAGGAGGAGCAUGAGCGUGUGUGAUAGGAUCCGAAAGAUGGUGAACUAAUCCUGGGCAGGGCGCAGCCAUAGAAAACUCUGGUGGAAGUCUGUAGCGGUCCAGCGUGCAAAUCGUCAUCCGACCUGGGUAUAUGGGUGAAAGACUAAUCGAACCAUCUAGUAGCUGGUCCCCUCCCAAGUUUCCCUCAGGAUAGCUGGUGCUCAGAAACCCCAGUUUUAUCUGGUAAAGCGAAUGAUUAGAGGUCUUGGGGCCGAAACAAUGUCAACCUAUUCUCAAACUUGGCCACUUUUGGUAAGCAGAACUGGCGCUGCGGGAUGAACCGAACACCGGAUAAGGUGCCCAAUGCAGAUGCUCAUCAAACCCCAGAAAGGUGUUGGUUGAUAUAGACAGCAGGACGGUGGGUACGGAAGUCGGAAUCCACUAAGGAGUGUGUAAUAACUCAUCUGCCUAAUCAACAAGCCCUGCAAAUGGAUGGCACUGGAGCGUUGGGCCCAUACCAGGCUGUUGCCAGCCCUGAGAGCCAUGGGGGAUAAGCCGCGAUGAGUAGGAGCGCCGCUGUGGUGGGCAAGGAAGCCCGGGGCAAGGGCCCGGGUGGAGGCGCGCAGGUGCAGAUCUUGGUGGUAGUGGCAAAUAUUCAAACAAGAACUUUGAAGACCGAAGUGGAGAAGGGUUCCAUGUGAACAGCAGUUGAACAUGGGUCAGUUGGUCCUAGGAGAAGGGCAGGCGCCGUUCGGACCGGAACCUCCGUUGCCCUCAGCUAAUCGAAAGGGAGUCGGGUUCAGAUCCCCGAACCCAGAGUGUGGAGACGGGCGCCCUUGUGGCUUCCAUUGUGGUAACGCAAAUUAUCCUGGAGAAGCUGGUGGGGGCCCUGGGGAGAGUACUCUUUUCUUUGUGAAGUGCAUGGCACUCUGGAAUGGGUUCGCCCCGAGAGAGCGGCCUGAGACUUGGAAAGCAUUGUAGUUCUGGCGGCGUCCGGUGAUCUCUCGCUGGUCCUUGAAAAUCUGGCAGAGAUGGUGUAAAUCUCACGCCGGGCCAUAAUCAUAUCCGCAGCAGGUCUCCAAGGUGAACAGCUUCUGGCAUGUUGGAACAAUGUAGGUAAGGGAAGUCGGCAAGUCAGAUCCAUAACUUCGGGAUAAGGAUUGGCUCUAAGGGCUGGGUCGGUCGGGCUGCGGCGCGAAUCUGGGCUGGGAGUGCGCCACGGCUGGAUGAGGCGUCUGCCCCCAGGGGCGGUGCUGACUAUGAAUGCGAGCUGGGCCCUUCCUGUGGAUCGCCCCAGCUGCAGUGGUCGCCUAUCUCCGUUUCCGUCCUGGGGUUCAGGGCUGGCGUGCUGCCUCGGCCGACGCCUAGCAGCUAAUUUAGAACUGGUGCGGACCAGGGGAAUCCGACUGUUUAAUUAAAACAAAGCAUCACGAAGGCCUGAGGUGGGUGUUGAUGCGAUUUGAUUUCUGCCCAGUGCUCUGAAUGUCAAAGUGAAGAAAUUCAAUGAAGCGCAGGUAAACGGCGGGAGUAACUAUGAGUCUCUUAAGGUAUUCAAAUGCCUCGUCAUCUAUUUAGUGACUCGCAUGAAUGGAUGAAUGAGAUUUCCACUGUCCCUACCUACUAUCUAGCAAAGUCAUAGCCAAGGGAACAGGCUUGGCAGAAUCAGCAGGGAGCGGAGAGCUUGACUCUAGUCUGGCACUGUGAAGAGGCAUGAGAGGUGUGGGAUAAGUGGGAGGCCCUCGGGCCGCCGGUGGAAUAUCACUACUUUUAUCAUUUAUUCACUUAACCAGUGCGGCGGGGGCAAGCCCCAUGGAGCUCUCGCUUCUGGCACCAAGCCCCCAGCGCCCACUGGGCACUCCCCGCUCCGGGGACAGUAGCAGGUGGGAAGUUUGACUGGGGCGGUAUACAUGUCAAACGAUAACGCAGGUGUCCUAAGGCAAGCUCAGAGAAAACAGAAACCCUCCCGUGGAGCAGAAGGGGAAAAAGCUUGCUUGAUCUCGAUUUGCAGUAUGAAUACAGACAGUGAAAGUGGGGCCUCACAAUCCUUCUGGCAAUUUGGGUUUCAAGCAGGAGGUGCCAGAAAAGUUAUCACAGGGAUAACUGGCUUCUGGCAGACAAGCGUUCAUAGAGAUGUCAUUUUUUGAUCCUUUGAUGUUGGCUCUUCCGAUCAUUGUGAAGCAGAAUUCACCAAGCGUUGGAUUGUUCACCCACUAAUUGGGGCUGGGUUUAGACCAUCUUGAGAUAGGUUAGUUUUACCCUACUGAUGAUGUGUUAUUACAAUAGUAAUCCUGCUCAGUACGAGAGGAACCGCAGGUUCAGACAUUUGGUGUAUGUGCUUGGUUUAGGAGCCACUGGGCGAAGCUACCAUCUGUGGGAUUAUGUCAGAAUCCCCCCCUAAACCGUAAUGAGACUGCAUCGCUGUGGAGCCUCGGUUGGCCUAGGAUAGCCGACUUAUGGGCCAGUGCGUGCAGCCGCUCGUCUCCGGACUCGAGUGUGGACAGAAGGGGCCAUCUUUCUCACCCUUAGUGCACCGCGUGUUCGUG